GUCAGCGCCAGUUUGGGGCAGAAAAGGAAAAGAGCCCGGCAGGAGGGGCAGCGAGCGCCUCGAGGCACUCAGGGACAGACAGCUGCAGCUGAGGGAGCAGCAGGAGGAGCUGGAGCUGCUGAUGAACGGGAUCUUCAAGGGCGUCUUCGUGCAUCGGUACCGGGACGUGGUGCCCGAGAUCCGCGGGAUCUGCAUGGAGGAGCUCGGGGUGUGGGUGAGGAAAUUCCCAGCUCCUUCCUCACUGACAGCCAC